rnacentral:rRNA from 1 species
GAAGUAUCUUGGUAUGUAAACCUCUUUUCUCAAGAAAGAAGUUCUGACGGUACUUGAGGAAUAAGCAUCGGCUAACUCCGUGCCAGCAGCCGCGGUAAUACGGAGGGUGCAAGCGUUAAUCGGAAUUACUGGGCGUAAAGCGCGCGUAGGCGGUUUGGUCAGUCGGAUGUGAAAGCCCUGGGCUUAACCUGGGAACUGCAUUCCAAACUGUCAGACUAGAGUAUGGUAGAGGGUGGUAGAAUUUCCUGUGUAGCGGUGAAAUGCGUAGAUAUAGGAAGGAAUACCGAUGGCGAAGGCAGCCACCUGGACCAAUACUGACGCUGAGGUGCGAAAGCGUGGGGAGCAAAC